rfam:Brachypodium distachyon strain Bd21 chromosome 3, whole genome shotgun sequence.
AGCAUCGAUGACGAUGACAUGGUGUCAUAUCUCCUAGUAGGACUUGACAUCGACUACAACCCUUUGGUGACCUCGGUUACCUCUGCACUUGGUCGCAAUGACAAAGUUUCCAUUAGCGAUCUAUACUCUCAGGUUGUUAGCUUUGACU